AGUGGCAAACGGGUGAGUAUAAUGUGGGAAUCUGCCUUUUGGUUUGGAAUAACACGGGGAAACUUGUGCUAAUACCGAAUAAGCCUUUACAGGGAAAGUUUUAACGCCGAAAGAUGAGCCUGCACUUGAUUAGCUAGUUGGUAAGGUAAAAGCUUACCAAGGCAACGAUCAAUAGCUGUUCUUAGAGGAAGACCAGCCACAUUGGGACUGAGACACGGCCCAGACUCCUACGGGAGGCAGCAGUGGGGAAUCUUGCACAAUGGGGGAAACCCUGAUGCAGCGAUGCCGCGUGAGUGAAGAAGGCCCUUGGGUUGUAAAACUCUUUCGUCGGGGAAGAAAAUGACUGUACCCGAAUAAGAAGGUCCGGCUAACUUCGUGCCAGCAGCCGCGGUAAUACGAAGGGACCUAGCGUAGUUCGGAAUUACUGGGCUUAAAGAGCUCGUAGGUGGUCAAAAAAGUUGAUGGUGAAAUCCCAAGGCUCAACCUUGGAACUGCCAUCAAAACUUUUUAGCUAGAGUGUGAUAGAGGUAAGUGGAAUUUCUAGUGUAGAGGUGAAAUUCGUAGAUAUUAGAAAGAACACCAAAUGCGAAGGCAACUUACUGGGUCAUUACUGACACUGAGGAGCGAAAGCAUGGGUAGCGAAGAGGAUUAGAUACCCUCGUAGUCCAUGCCGUAAACGAUGUGUGCUAGACGUUGGAAAUAUAUUUUUCAGUGUCGCAGCGAAAGCAUUAAGCACACCGCCUGGGGAGUAC
rnacentral:rRNA from 1 species